rnacentral:rRNA from 1 species
AUUGAACGCUAGCGGGAUGCCUUACACAUGCAAGUCGAACGGAGUGGCGAACGGGAGAGUAAUGGAUCGGAACGUGCCCAGUAGCGGGGGAUAACUACGCGAAAGCGGAGAUAAUACCGCAUACUAUUGGACCGGACGAUAUCGGAUUAGCUAGUUGGGGGGGUAACGGACCACCAAGGCGACGAUCCGUAGCGGGUUUGAGAGGACGACCAGCCACACUGGGACUGAGACACGGCCCAGACUCCUACGGGAGGCAGCAGUGGGGAAUUUUGGACAAUGGGCGAAACCCUGAUCCAGCCAUCCCGCGUGUGCGAUGAAGGCCUUCGGGUUGUAAAGCACUUUUGGCAGGAAAGCGGUACCUGCAGAGUAAGCACCGGCUAACUACGUGCCAGCCGCCGCGGUAAUAC